UCCCUGGCAGUCCAGUGGUUAGGACUCCACGCUUUCACUGCCAAGGCCCAGGUUCAAUCCCUGGUUGGGGAA
rnacentral:tRNA from 1 species